CUCCUACGGGAGGCAGCAGUGGGGAAUUUUGGACAAUGGGGGCAACCCUGAUCCAGCAAUGCCGCGUGUGUGAAGAAGGCCUUCGGGUUGUAAAGCACUUUUGUCCGGGAAGAAAUCGCACCUGAUAAUACCGGGUGUGGAUGACGGUACCGGAAGAAUAAGGACCGGCUAACUACGUGCCAGCAGCCGCGGUAAUACGUAGGGUCCAAGCGUUAAUCGGAAUUACUGGGCGUAAAGCGUGCGCAGGCGGUUGUGCAAGACCGAUGUGAAAUCCCCGGGCUUAACUUGGGAAUUGCAUUGGUGACUGCACGGCUAGAGUGUGUCAGAGGGGGGUAGAAUUCCACGUGUAGCAGUGAAAUGCGUAGAGAUGUGGAGGAAUACCGAUGGCGAAGGCAGCCCCCUGGGAUAACACUGACGCUCAUGCACGAAAGCGUGGGGAGCAAACAGGAUUAGAUACCCUGGUAGUCCACGCCCUAAACGAUGUCAACUAGUUGUUGGGGAUUCAUUUCCUUAGUAACGUAGCUAACGCGUGAAGUUGACCGCCUGGGGAGUACGGUCGCAAGAUUAAAACUCAAAGGAAUUGACGG
rnacentral:rRNA from 1 species